AUUGAACGCUGGCGGCAGGCCUAACACAUGCAAGUCGAGCGGUUGAGGGGAGCUUGCUCCCUGAUUCAGCGGCGGACGGGUGAGUAAUGCCUAGGAAUCUGCCUAUUAGUGGGGGACAACGUUUCGAAAGGAACGCUAAUACCGCAUACGUCCUACGGGAGAAAGCAGGGGACCUUCGGGCCUUGCGCUAAUAGAUGAGCCUAGGUCGGAUUAGCUAGUUGGUGAGGUAAUGGCUCACCAAGGCGACGAUCCGUAACUGGUCUGAGAGGAUGAUCAGUCACACUGGAACUGAGACACGGUCCAGACUCCUACGGGAGGCAGCAGUGGGGAAUAUUGGACAAUGGGCGAAAGCCUGAUCCAGCCAAGCCGCGUGUGUGAAGAAGGUCUUCGGAUUGUAAAGCACUUUAAGUUGGGAGGAAGGGCAGUAAGUUAAUACCUUGCUGUUUUGACGUUACCGACAGAAUAAGCACCGGCUAACCCUGUGCCAGCCGCCGCCGUAACAC
rnacentral:rRNA from 1 species